AAAAGGCCCAAGAAGAGUUGUUAGACCUGACUAAAAGAAAAGGAGAGAACACUCAAGUGAUUGUUGAACUGACUAAAGACAACAACGAGAAAGACUUCACUUUGAAAUCAGUUGAUGAGAAAUUGGAUACUGCCCUGAAAGUUCAGAAUGAUCUACAAGAACUUACAGAUGUCUUGAAGAGAAAAGUGAAUGAACUGGAGCAAACAAAUCAAUGGCUGAAGGAGGAACAAGAUAUCUUGAAUAAGGAGUAUUCUACCCUAAUGACGAAACUGGAAAGAUGAAGGAGGAAUUUGCCUUUUAUUUGAAUGAAUAUAUGGAAUUAAAAAAACUGGAAGUUGAGCAGCACAAUAUUGAAGCGGAGGAAUCUAAUAAGAAGUUUCAAGCACAGCAGAAGAAGAUUAUCGAUAGUGCAGCAGGCCAACAGGUGGACAUUAAAGAGGACCCAGAGGGAUAUGAACCACGCAUGGCCCCUAUUUGCUAUGCUGCCCAGGUACCAACCAAAGCCCAGUAUACAUGGG